UAUUAAUAAGAUAAAUUAGAUUUUUUUUCUUAUCUCUCUACGCAAACACCGUAAAUCUUAAUCUCCUCCUUCUCAACAAUACUAUUACUAUAAUCUCUUUCAAUCUUUUUUCCCAUUUACUUUGCAUAUGGAAUCACUGCAGAAUCAAUUAUAAAAGCCCUAAACCCGUUAAAUCUUUUAUGAGAUUAAAUAUUGUGGUUACUCCGAAUAAUAUGUGCAAAAUAUAAUGCUUGUUUGAAUACACGUGAUAUUUUGACUCAAUGCUAUGUUAGAAUGUUGACCAUUUCAAAGGCCUAAAACAUGUUGAAAAGAGUACUAUGAUUUGGUUCAUGCCGUUAACCCAAGUGUUGUGUAAGCUUCUAAAGAAGUUACGAGGCUUUCCGUUUCUUCGUGGAUGAAAAGAUACGCAGCACUCUUUUUAACUCGGUUCACAAGCAUGGCAACCUACAACUUUAUCUAGUUGAAACAUAAUUUAUGUUGGGGGACUUAACAUAAGAUUUUUAGGUAUCCAACUCAAAAAACUAACCUAUUAGGUGGAGUGACCUACCAUCUUAUAAACCUAAGCAUCUCCCUUUUAUUAGUUAAUGUGGGACACAACUCAACAAUCCCCCCCUCGGACGAAACCACCGUCGGACUCCGGUCAUUUCAUCUGACACACCUGAAUUGUUCAACCACCACAUUCUGGCUACUAGGGUCUAGCUCUGAUACCACUUGUUGGGGAUACUUAACAUAAGAUUCGUAAGUAUCCAACCCAAAAAACUAACUUUUUAGGUGGAGUGAUCUACCAACUUAUAAACCCAAGCAUCUCCCUUUUACUAUUCAAUGUGGGACACAACUCAAUAAUUUAUUAUUUUUUGCUUUGCACGGUGCACGUGAUAAGCAAGUAAUCUUUAUACGUUAAUGAGAAUUUGAAAUUUUAUCAAAAGAUAAAUUUCUUGAGAAAUUUCAUCUGUUGCUCUAUCAUCCACCUCAACCUUCGGGCAAAACCAUGCAUCUCCUGUCCCGGUACUUUCAUCACCAUCAACAGGGCUAGAUCUAAUUCUGCAUAAGUCAGCAAUACAAUGAAGAAAACACCAACCCCCUGCUUGAAUUAGAUUACUUUUGGAGUUUUAAACGAUGAAAGUGAAAAAAAAAAAGUAAAAAUGAUAAAAUAAGGGUAUUAAGGGAAUUAUAUGAGAAUGAGAUUAUUUUAAAAUAUUCUAUGAAGUUAAUUAAGAAAUGGAGGCUAAUGAGAUAAUUUGAGGGGAUUAAAAAUCACAAUUCAUAUGCUCACCGAGUAGGCUUUAUCUUCUUCACCAACCUUUGUUUGUUUGCUAUUAAUUGAUGACCACCUGUGUUUGCCAUUAAUUGGUGACGUGGUUUGCUGUUAAUUAGAAGAUAAAGCCUAGAGCCUUUCUUACAGACAGGGUCCAACUAUUUUGGAACAGUUGCACUAUACUACAUCUUUUGUCUGUAUUAAACAAAUCCUUUGGAUGCUUCUUUAUUUAAUGUAAAAGCUGGGCUUAAUUAUUGGAUAAAUUAGACUGCCACCAGUAACCUUUUGAGCGGGUUGCAAUUAAUCGAUUUCAUCUUUUUCAUUUUCGUCUUUUAAGUAUUUGUAUUAUACUACAACUAUUAACCUUUUGAGAGGUUGAAAUUAGG
rnacentral:lncRNA from 1 species